UCUAUGAUCCUAUCACUUUCUCAAUAAUCUAUGAUCCUAUCACUUUCUCAGUAAUCUAAGUGAUAGGAUCAUAGAUUAUUGAGAAAGUGAUAGGAUCAUAG
rnacentral:pre_miRNA from 1 species